GGAUGUGAAGGUGGUCUGGCUGUGACAUUUGUCACCCUGUUGAUCACCAGUGUUGAUUUGGCUCACCUGGCUGGCUAGGCAGGUGUCCCCUUCCUCCCUCACUGUUCCAUGUGCGUCCAUCCAGAAGCUGUGUGCUAGGUCCAAGAGGAUGACCUUCUCUGAUAGAGGAAGACGUGUUCUUCGGUCAAGGGGAACGAGUGAUGGCUCUCCCCUGCUAAAACCUCCAAACAACUCUCAACUCUCAUUUGCAGAAGAAUGUAGGAUAGUCAAGCUUCCAAGACUCCAGACACACCCACAUUAGGUGCUGCAGCUAGCAGUCAGCCUUUCUUU
rnacentral:snRNA from 1 species